UCCCCUUGAAUCCACGCUUGCGCACACGCCACACACACAUACUCAUGUAUAUUAUAUAUUAAUUAUUUUUUUUAUAAUACUUAAAAUUAUGUAAAAAUAAAAUAUUCACAACAUAAUACUUUUCGUGAUAAAUAUUAUAGUUUUUACUAAAAGCCCCCAGUAUAUAUUAUAUUAUAUAUUUUAUGUAUUAAAUAUUAUUAUUAUAAUGUUGUGAUGUGUAAGUUAUUAUUAUCAUAACGUGAUAUACGUUGGAUUUGUGUGCGCGUAUUAUCACGACCGUGACGGUCAUAAAAUAAAUAAUUAUCGCGUUGUCUUCCAGCCAGACAUCCAGCCGAGACUCACUGCAUCAUCACUCCGGUAAGCACGCACUAUAAUAUUAUCUAUCUCACUGCGUUUCUGUCCGCGGGCUCGCCUCGUCCAAAGGUCAAAAUCCAAUUAAAACGCAAUUAGAAUGUCAAAACUAGUGUGCGCAACUCAAUUAUUAUAUUUGUUGGUAGGUAAGCUCGCCGAUGACGAAGACGACGACGAUGACUGCUGCGUAAUAAGAUAAAAAUAAAAAUAAUAAUAAUAAUAAACACUCGACAGAAAUAGUUGACGUUGGAUUUUAUGAAGUUUCGCGUUUCUCUCAAUAUCACUGAGCUGUCUAGAACUUACGGUAAUUAGGCACCAUAAAAUUGUACACUCGACAUUGAUGUAGCUAAAUUGCCUAUCCAAGACGCCGUGAGAUCGUCAACAUAUUUUUAUCAUUGCAGAAAUUCGACAAAGCAUAGGAAUUUCAGCUACUCGAGUCUUAAGAUUUAGUCCGUCAGUCGUAGUUCGAACAUAGUCGAGUACAGGGACCUAUACUUCAAACUUCGCAGGAUCGUUCAGAGAACCGAGCCGUUGUCCACAUCUCAUAUACGUCGACAAUAAUAAUUGAUUCAUCGUCGAUUCUAUGCAUACAUUCUAAGAAUGUCCUUCGAGAUUAUUGUACCCGUAAUCCAGUAUAUGCACGUCAUACGAAUAUGGCUACCCGCUUAUCCGGACUUACCUGACCGUUACUUGGCGUUCUAAAUCAACUUGUCACGCACAUAGCCAUAUAGAUAUAACGUAUAGAGAACCAUAUUUUCAUAAUUGCAGAUUAAUAAGGACGUGUCAUACAUCAGCUACACAAGCAGCAAUGUCAACGAAAUAAUUGAGACUAAUGCAGAUAAUAACCAGAAAAUGUAAUUCGACGACGGAUAAUAUUAUACGAAUGACUAUAUAUACACCUGUAUCUAUAUAUAGUGGUAGCAGUAACAGUGCGCAUUGUUAUAUGUAUAAUAUAGAACAUGUGUUUGAGUUUCAUAUUCUGGCGGUGAUGAAUACAUGAUAUUAUUGCGUAAUUUGACGCGCAUACGAAUUAAAGAGUCUUGAGUUCUUAUAAUAUACGGCGAUGAAAAUUGAAAAUUGCGAAGUUUGGUGGGCAACAAAACAAUCUACAGAGAAAAUCAUUUCAAACAUAUACAAUAUAAUCAGGUAAUAUUUGAAUAAGGUACCCAUAAAUUAAUACUUUUAUAUUUUGAUUAUUGUUUUAUGAUUAUUAUGGCUAAUACUAUAGCACUCGGCCUGAGCGCAUACAAAUUUUGUGUUUUGUUUGGAAUUUGCAAUGAUUGUUUUUUUGUGUAUUUGUGCUUAUAUUUUAAUUCAAAAUAUAAAGACGUUUUUAAAUAAAUUUGGUUCAUAUUUGGAUCGAUUCUCAUAAGUAUUUUGUUAAAUCAAAGUUUGUAGUAUGGAAGGUACACUAGAUAGGUAAACAGCUUUACUGUGUCACAAUAUUGAUUUAUCUCUAUCUGAUUUACUUUCAUGUAGUCUAAAGUGUAGCCUGAUUUAUGAGUCAUAAAACAAAUUCGAAAUCGCCAAAAUAACUUCGGAUCGACGUGCUUAAAAAUUUAAACAUUUAUUACGAACUCUCUAACUUAUUAGACUGUUCUUAUAAAUUAAUAAUAACUAAAAUAUAUAAAACAUAAUAUUUAUCAUUACUUACUCAAGCAUAUUUAAACACCGGUAUAUUAUCGUAUUCGAUUAGGUCGUUGGUUCUUAUUUGAUUUAAUUUUAAUUUAUUUGAUUUCCUCAACCACGCUAUCGACUAUUGUGGAAUGUAAACGUAAAUAAUAAUAUGAUAGGUAUAUAAUGAAAUUGGUUUUGAACUUGGGAAAUGUACAUAAUAAAUUUAAUAUUAUAGUUUGUAACUAUUAAUGACAUGGAAAACACUUGUCACACAUAAAAUUGAAACUUAAUAUCGUUUUAAAAGAGAAAUUAUAUCGUAUAAUCCCUCACCACUAAAAUUGUACAUAAAUAUAGCAAUUUUUUUUGUUUUAAUAUGAACUAUC